UACGUAGGGUGCGAGCGUUAAUCGGAUUUACUGGGCGUAAAGCGUGCGCAGGCGGCCCGUUAAGACAGGUGUGAAAUCCCUGGGCUCAACCUAGGAAUUGCGCUUGUGACUGGCGGGCUCGAGUACGGUAGAGGGGGGUGGAAUUCCUGGUGUAGCAGUGAAAUGCGUAGAGAUCAGGAGGAACACCGAUGGCGAAGGCAGCCCCCUGGGCCUGUACUGACGCUCGUGCACGAAAGCGUGGGGAGCAAACAGG
rnacentral:rRNA from 1 species